rnacentral:tRNA from 1 species
GGGCGGGUGGCGAAAUUGGCAGACGCGAGAGCCUUAGGAGCUCUUUCCGCAAGGAGUGGAGGUUCAAAUCCUCUCCCGCCCA